UUUAAUUAAAAAGUGAUAUUUUUUAAAUAGAUUCCCAAUGGAUUUCAACGAUGAAAAAUUCUUUCUGACGCCUUGACUGGAAGGAAGGACGAGACUGAACAACACUGACCUACCUCAAGGAGCUGCUAGUUGUCAACCUACCAGCUGAUCAUCUGGCAUCGUUCGGCAGGGAAAUAAAGUUAUUUCCCUGUUGAGGUUUAGGUUUAUGAUAUGGAUGAUUUUUUCCUAUAUCAUUUAUGACGUGUCUAAUCAAGAGUCCAAUGGAAUCUAUUGACAUGACUGGCCUAUUAGGACCAGAAUAAUUUUUUGGACAGUAAUGUUGCUGAACAUUGAGGACAAGGUGUUGCCGAGCCAAGGACACACCGCUGCUUUUAAUUUUUUUUCUGUUUCAGAUCCAGUCAACGAGAAUGAGGAUAUCCAUGGGUGCCAAGGAAUACCGAGACCAGGAGAAGGAGGACCAGGACCAAGAAGAAGAUCAAUUAUUUAUUUAAUUAAUUUAAUUAUUUAUUUUUAUUAUUUAUACUUAAUUUGUAUUUUUUAUAUUUAUUUAG